GACGAACGCUGGCGGCGUGCCUAAUACAUGCAAGUUGAGCGCUGAAGGUUGGUACUUGUACCAACUGGAUGAGCAGCGAACGGGUGAGUAACGCGUGGGGAAUCUGCCUUUGAGCGGGGGACAACAUUUGGAAACGAAUGCUAAUGCCGCAUAAAAACUUUAAACACAAGUUUUAAGUUUGAAAGAUGCAAUUGCAUCACUCAAAGAUGAUCCCGCGUUGUAUUAGCUAGUUGGUGAGGUAAAGGCUCACCAAGGCGAUGAUACAUAGCCGACCUGAGAGGGUGAUCGGCCACAUUGGGACUGAGACACGGCCCAAACUCCUACGGGAGGCAGCAGUAGGGAAUCUUCGGCAAUGGACGAAAGUCUGACCGAGCAACGCCGCGUGAGUGAAGAAGGUUUUCGGAUCGUAAAACUCUGUUGGUAGAGAAGAACGUUGGUGAGAGUGGAAAGCUCAUAAAGUGACGGUAACUACCCAGAAAGGGACGGCUAACUACGUG
rnacentral:rRNA from 1 species